rnacentral:rRNA from 1 species
UACGGAGGGGGCUAGCGUUGUUCGGAAUUACUGGGCGUAAAGCGCACGUAGGCGGCUUUGUAAGUUAGAGGUGAAAGCCCGGGGCUCAACUCCGGAAUUGCCUUUAAGACUGCAUCGCUAGAAUUGUGGAGAAGUAAGUGGAAUUCCGAGUGUAGAGGUGAAAUUCGUAGAUAUUCGGAAGAACACCAGUGGCGAAGGCGACUUACUGGACACAUAUUGACGCUGAGGUGCGAAAGCGUGGGGGAGCAAACAGG